CUGUGACGGUAGCUUNCCAGAAAGGGACGGCUAACUACGUGCCAGCAGCCGCGNUAAUACGUAGGUCCCGAGCGUUGUCCGGAUUUAUUGGGCGUAAAGCGAGCGCAGGCGGUUUGAUANGUCUGAAGUUAAAGGCUGUGGCUCAACCAUAGUUCGCUUUGGAAACUGUCAAACUUGAGUGCAGAAGGGGAGAGUGGAAUUCCAUGUGUAGCGGUGAAAUGCGUAGAUAUAUGGAGGAACACCGGUGGCGAAAGCGGCUCUCUGGUCUGUAACUGACGCUGAGGCUCGAAAGCGUGGGGAGCGAACAGGAUUAGAUACCCUGGUAGUCCACGCCGUAAACGAUGAGUGCUAGGUGUUGGAUCCUUUCCGGGAUUCAGUGCCGCAGCUAACGCAUUAAGCACUCCGCCUGGGGAGUACGGCCGCAAGGUCGAAACUCAAAGGAAUUGACGGGGGCCCGCACAAGCGGUGGAGCAUGUGGCUUAAUUCGAAGCAACGCGAAGAACCUUACCAGGUCUUGACAUCCCGAUGCUAUUUCUAGAGAUAGGAAGUUACUUCGGUACAUCGGUGACAGGUGGUGCAUGGUUGUCGUCAGCUCGUGUCGUGAGAUGUUGGGUUAAGUCCCGCAACGAGCGCAACCCCUAUUGUUAGUUGCCAUCAUUCAGUUGGGCACUCUAGCGAGACUGCCGGUAAUAAACCGGAGGAAGGUGGGGAUGACGUCAAAUCAUCAUGCCCCUUAUGACCUGGGCUACGCACGUGCUACAAUGGUUGGUACAACGAGUUGCGAGUCGGUGACGGCGAGCUAAUCUCUUAAAGCCAAUCUCAGUUCGGAUCGUAGGCUGCAACUCGCCUACAUGAAGUCGGAAUCGCUAGUAAUCGCGGAUCAGCACGCCGCGGUGAAUACGUUCCCGGGCCUUGUACACACCGCCCGUCACACCACGAGAGUUUGUAACGCCCGAAGU
rnacentral:rRNA from 1 species